rnacentral:lncRNA from 1 species
AAACGGGGUUGGGCAAAUUUUUUUGUGAGAAACUGCAAAGUGGUGACUUGUUGCUGCCUAUUCCAUCCAAGGAUCAACCGGUUGAUUUUCUUAGCAAGGCAUUAUCUCCACAGUCCUUUCUGCCAUUUAUAACCAAGAUGGGCAUGUUGGACAUCUACCAUGCUCCAGCUUUAAAUUCCUCUAACUCUUCCAAUCCCAUGGUCCCC